rnacentral:piRNA from 1 species
UGGUGCGAGACUGUUGAUGGGCUGG